GGCUGCCUAGCUCAGUGGUAGAGCGUCAGACUUCGAUUGUUUGUCGAAUUAUCAUCUGAAUGUCGCGUGUUCGACCCACGUGGUGGUCU